rnacentral:rRNA from 1 species
CCCUUAGAUGUUCUGGGCUGCACGCGCGCUACACUGACAUGUCCAGCGAGCUCCCAACCUGCUCGGCAAAGAAUGGGUACCCUUUUUAACGCAUGUCGUGAUGGGGAUAGAUUAUUGCAAUUGUUGAUCCUGAACGAGGAAUUCCUAGUAAGUGCAAGUCAUUAGCUUGUGCUGAAUACGUCCCUGCCCUUUGUACACACCGCCCGUCGCUACUACCGAUUGAACGGUUUAGUGAGGGCCUCGGAUUGGUCUCGGCCCGCUCUUUACCGGGCGGCGCCGUUGGUCGAGAAGACGCUCGAACUUGAUCGUUUAGAGGAAGUAAAAGUCGUAACA